GGAGGGUCAGGGCGGAGCGCG
rnacentral:misc_RNA from 1 species